rnacentral:rRNA from 1 species
CAUGGCUCAGAUUGAACGCUGGCGGAAUGCUUUACACAUGCAAGUCGAACGGCAGCACGGGUGCUUGCACCUGGUGGCGAGUGGCGAACGGGUGAGUAAUGCACCGGAACGUAUCCAAUAAUGGGGGAUAACGCACCGAAAGGUGUGCUAAUACCGCAUACGCCCUGAGGGGGAAAGCGGGGGAUCGUAAGACCUCGCGUUAAUGGAGCGGCCGAUGCCGGAUUAGCUAGUUGGUGAGGUAAAGGCUCACCAAGGCGACGAUCUCUAGCUGGUCUGAGAGGACGACCAGCCACACUGGAACUGAGACACGGUCCAGACUCCUACGGGAGGCAGCAGUGGGGAAUUUUGGACAAUGGGCGCAAGCCUGAUCCAGCCAUUCCGCGUGAGUGAAGAAGGCCUUCGGGUUGUAAAGCUCUUUCGCAAGGAAUGAAAACUUAUCUAAGAAUACGAGGUGAGGUUGACGGUACCUUGAUAAGAAGCACAAGCGGACUACGUGCCAGCAGCCGCGGUAAUA